rnacentral:lncRNA from 1 species
ACAACCGUGCAAUUGAGCCCAACUCUAAAUUUACAUAACACACUCUCUCUUUCAGACUUUCACUAUUACACAUAACCCUAAAACAUGAUAACAUUCAAAUUCCUAAAUUCCUAAUUUUUUUCCCUCUCUCUCUCUCUCUCUCUCUCUCUCUCAGACCCUCACCCGGUCAGGCAGUCACCCUAGCUCUCUCUCAGACCCUCAUCUGGUCAUGCAGUCACCCUAGCUCACAUUUUUUGUAAUUAUUUUGUAUUUUUAACUAUCGGACAUGUUGCAUCAAAUUAUAGGUAAUAUUCUUUAAAAAUUAAACUAUUGAUUAUAUAUAUAUAAUGUAUUUUAAUUAUAUAUAGGCUUUAAUUUAAUUUGGGCCAUUAUUGUUGGCCCAUAAAAUAAACCCAACAAGUACAAUCGUGCAAUUGAGCCCAACUCUAAAUUUACAUAACACACUAUCUCUUUCAGACUUUCACUGUUGCACAUAACCCUAAAACAUAAUAACAUUCAAAUUCCCAAAUCUCUAAUUUUUUUCCCCUCUCUCUCUCUCUCUCUCUCUAAAGAGGUGGUGGAGCCUCCUCCUACUCCGCACCCAGUGUUUGCUGUUCGGUCUCUUCUCCGACGCCUCCGCUUCCUGAAACCAUUGAACUAUUCUGUCGACCACAUUGCACCAUUACAAUCACAGUUGUAGUCUUUUACCCUACGUUUCACUAUUAAUCGUCGUGCACGUCGCACUGUUAAUCCCUGUCGCAUUUAAUGCUAGCGGCAGGCACUGUUAAUCCCUGUCACAUUUAAUGCUAGCGGCAGGCACGAAAAGUGACAUGUACGUUAUAUUCGGUUAAGUGAGGCGAAAAGGCACCGGCGGGUUGGUCAGCCGACGAUUCGUUUUGUUUAAAUAUGGGUUCUUCAGAUG